rnacentral:rRNA from 1 species
AACGAACGCUGGCGGCAUGCCUAACACAUGCAAGUCGAACGAGACCUUCGGGUUUAGUGGCGCACGGGUGCGUAACGCGUGGGAACCUGCCCUUAGGUUCGGAAUAACUCCCCGAAAGGGGUGCUAAUACCGGAUAAUGUCUUCGGACCAAAGAUUUAUCGCCUUUGGAUGGGCCCGCGUUGGAUUAGCUAGUUGGUAGGGUAAAAGCCUACCAAGGCGACGAUCCAUAGCUGGUCUGAGAGGAUGAUCAGCCACACUGGGACUGAGACACGGCCCAGACUCCUACGGGAGGCAGCAGUGGGGAAUAUUGGACAAUGGGCGAAAGCCUGAUCCAGCAAUGCCGCGUGAGUGAUGAAGGCCUUAGGGUUGUAAAGCUCUUUUACCCGGGAUGAUAAUGACAGUACCGGGAGAAUAAGCUCCGGCUAACUCCGU